UACAGAGGGUGCGAGCGUUGUUCGGAAUUAUUGGGCGUAAAGCGCAUGUAGGCGGUUUGUUAAGUCGCGUGUGAAAGCUCCAGGCUCAACCUGGAAAGUGCGCGCGAAACUGGCGAACUUGAGUGCCGGAGAGGGUGGCGGAAUUCCCGGUGUAGAGGUGAGAUUCGUAGAUAUCGGGAGGAACACCAGAGGCGAAGGCGGCCACCUGGACGGACACUGACGCUGAGACGCGAAAGCGUGGGGAGCAAACAGG
rnacentral:rRNA from 1 species